GGGUGUCACACUAUGGACAUCACAAGUGAAUAAAUCCAUAAAUGAAUUUAGGAUCUAUUCUACUUGGGUCAUAUCCGAUGUAUAGUAAGUCCAGUCAGUCACAUCUAUAUUUCAAUCUUCUGGGAGUCAUCUACUCCGAUGCUCAAGACUAAACAUCUCCCAAUUGGACUUGACAGACAACAUAUUAAUUUUUCAAUCGGUUUGCUCAUUUGCAAUUAGAUUAAUGACAUGUUUAGGUUUAUCUACUAAUACAACGUAAUAUUACUUACUAUUAGUUUAACGUCGAAUAAUCAAUGAGUUAAUAUUUGCUUUCAUUUUGCUUCGCAUGCAAAAACCAUUGAAGACAAUAUACAAAUAUAUUAAUGUAAUUUACGGAUAUUUUUAUUAAAUCAAUUUAUUCGAAAAAUACAAAUAUAUAUGAAUGGGAUAACUACACUUAAAAGCACCAAACCUAGCAACUCCUUGAUAUAGGUUUGGAAAUUAUAGACCAUCCCACUCUUGCACUCUUAUCAUCCAUAAUUAAAAGGGAAAAUUGUAAGGAUUCUUGAUGAAAAAAAUUCAUCAGCCUUUGUAGCGACCUAAAAAUUUCGGCACGGGCGCUACUCGAAGUGAUUAUUGAAAAUUUGAAAAUUGAAUCUCGACUUUAUUUGAAAAGGAGUCGCCACUGAUCUUUUUUCUAGGUGUGAUCGGACACUUACAAAAUUCUCUUUUUAGAAGAAAAUUUUAUUUUUAAACUUUUCUAAAAAAGAGGUAAUUUUAGGUCCACGUAAAAAUCCAGAGAAAAUUAGGGUUCGGGAGUCGGUUACGCGCGAGGAAGGUAUUAGCACCCUCGCGACGCCCAAAAUUGGUAUCUCGUAAAACACGCGUUGUCUUAAUUUUCAAAAAUACAAGUUCAAUUUAAUAGUUAAUCGCGAUCCGAUCAAAAUACGAAUUUUUUUUUAAACACGAAGAUUUUUGAAAUAAUUAUUUUUUUGAGAACACGAAAAAUUUUUAAAACACGAGGAUCUUAGAAACACGAAAAUUCUUAAAAGCACGAGGAUUUUUUUUGAAACACGAAAAUUUUUGAAAAUACGGAAAUUUUUAAAACACAGGAAUUUUUUGGAAACAUGAAAAUUUUUGAAACACGAUUAGUUUUUUUUUAAAGGUACCGCAUUUGACACGAAUCAAUGAUAUUCACCCCUACAUGGCGAUGAAAUCAUCGAAUUAGUGUUAAAUCGAUUCAACUUAAUAUUUAAUCGUGAUUCUAUUAAAACACGAGAAACCUUUUUUAUUUUUUAAAAAACACGAGAAUUUUUGAAUAUCUUCGCUUUUUUUUUUUAAAAAGGGCGUCCCGUAUUUGACACGAGCCAUCGAUAUUCACCCAACAUAGCGAUGAAAUCAAUGACUUAAUGCUAAAUCGGUUCGUGGCCUCAUGCAUCAAAAUUGUUCGAAUUUAACGAAUAAAAUAAAAUAAAAUUAAAAAAACAUAAAUACAAAAUAAAAAUAUUUAAAAAUAUGCAAUAAUAUUAAAAACGAGACAACAUUUAAAUAUUUAGACAAAAUUAAAAGUUCAAGAAUUUACCAAAACCCAAAGUUAUGGGCUGCACAAUUUUGAGCCUUUUCCUUUUUUUCUCUUUCUUUUCUCUUUUUUCUUUUUCUUUUCUUUUUUCUUUUUUUCUUCAGGUUGGGCCGCUGGGUGCUGGGCCGGAUGCUGGCCUGCUGCUGAAACGGGCCUGAGGCUGCUGGAGCUGGCCUGCUAGAGCUGCUGUUGGGCCUGGAGACCUGCUGGGCCUUUGCUGGAAUGGCCUGCUACUUACUUUUUGUUGCAGUUUUUUUUUUCUUUAAAAAGCCUGCUGUUUGGGCCUAAUCUGCUGGGCCUGCUGGGUGUUGUGGGUCUGCUGGCUGUUCCGGGUCGGGUUGCUAGUUCGGGUCGGGUCGGGUCGAGUCGGUUCGACCCGACUGAUUUAAUUGUUUUUUUUUAUUUUUUCUUUUUUUUCCCCCCUUUCUUCUUCCUUCUUCUUUCUUCUUUUUUUUUUUCUUUUUUUCUUCUCCUUCGUUCAGCCCCCGACGGCGCUUCCCGGGCUGGUGCGACGGUCGGCAGCGGCGCGCGGUGGAGAUCUCCUCUUCUCCUCCCCUUUUCCUUUUCUUCUUUUUCUUUUUCUUCCUUUGUCUUUCUCUUUUAUUUUUGUUUGUUGUUUGCUUCUUGCUCUCUUUUUUUGCUUCUUGGCUGUUGUUUGCUUUGCUAGGUGCCGGCGAUGGAAGUGCUGCGGCGGUGGGCACGGUGGCGUUGGUGCGAGGGCCGGCGAUGUGCUGCUGUUUUUGCUUGAUUUUCCUCUAAAAAAUUUUGUUGUUUUUUUUCUUUUUGCUUCCUUCCUUCCUCCUCCAAUUUUGGGGUUUGAAACCCCUUUUAAAUUGUUGCUUUUUCUUCCUUUUUGCAGGUAGCAAGUGGGUUAGGGGAGAGGGAGGCCAUGCUUUAGGUCGGCUGUCCCAGUGUAGGCGCAAGUUGGGCUGAUUGCUGUCAGAGGGACCAAAUCGUAAACGCAGAAAAUUUUUGGGGUAAAAUUAUAAUUUUGAGAAAGUUUAGGGGUUAAUAUGUAAUUUUGAGAAAGUUUAGAGGUCAAAAUGUAAUUUAAAAAGUUUAGGGGUUGAAGUGUAAUUUUGAGAAAUUUUAGGGUCAAAAUGAAAUUUUAGAAAAGUUUAGAGGUCAAAAUGCAAAAAAUUAAUUUUGUUUUUUUUUUUUUUUAAAACACGAAAUUAUUCCCGGACAAAAUUCAGUGAUUACAGCCUUAAAAAAGAAAAGAAAGAAAAACCGACUUGUUUAGCCUUAACUGGUUUAAAGGUCUGGUGUAUUUAUCCGGGUUCUUUUUUUAUACAUUUUCAACUUCAGUGUACAAGAUUAUUUAUUUAAUUUUUCUUUAGAUUUCGCAAGAACCAAUAAGAAAGAGAAAGAGAGGUUCUACAUAGCACAC
rnacentral:lncRNA from 1 species